rnacentral:lncRNA from 1 species
GAUAUUUUUAAAAAAAUGAUUUAAAUUAAAAUCAAAUUCACCCCCUGAAAACAGGAUCGCAUACAGGUUACAGCAUUGAAAUCAGAAACUAAAACUAUCAAAUUUCAUUACAAAUUAAACUGCAUUAUCAGCUAAACAUCGAUAAGAAGAGUAGCUGAUAACCAAAUAAACAAAUCUCAUUUCCAACUGAAUUGAAUUGCAGAACUCCAACUGCAUCUAGUCUUAAUCACAUCGUCCCGGAUACCCUACCUAACAAUUUUCCUGAACUCAACCACUUGCAAUCAUUGCCUAUCAUUACUCUUUACGCGCAGUCUUUAGUGAAUCAUCUUUAUCCCUAGCUGAAAAAGGUUAGAAGGAAUAGCAAGAAUGAGCAAUAAUGCUCAGCAAGAAUAUGAUAGGUGGAAGCAACAAGAUAUAUAUAUUUAAGUGAAUCAGAAUGUUGAAGUGAAAGUAAACUCUGGAUUAAACAUGAUGUUGUAAACCAACAGUUCAGUAUAAAAGAGUAAAAUGGUAAACAAUGAUAAAACAGUUCUGCAUCAAUAUAUGAAUUUAAAGCUGUAGAAAUAAAAAUAACUUCCAUUAUCUUUUGAACAUAAGAUAAUCUCCUUUGAAACUAAUCAAUAUUUAAUUGGGUUUAAAUAAGACACCUGGCUAUAACAGAUGAUCAGUCAUGCUAUAGUCCAUAAACCAAGCUUAUUCAGCAAGGUUGACAAAUAUUACGAAUUCCGGUAAUCCGGGCUAAAGGAGCCACCUUUCACGCUGGGCCGAUGUCUGAGCCUCUUACGCAAAACUACCCAAUAUAUUAAAUUUAAAAGCUACAGCUUUAACAUGAUUUGGUAAAUUCAAGAAUUCAAGUGGCUUUUCUUGUUAAACAAAUUUAUUUUGUAGCAAAUCAAAAUAGUUACUACUUUUAGUAGUUUGAAAAUCUUUUAUCAAAAUCAAAGUUUAAAUAGUGAGUCAAAGGUAUUAUCAAUUCAACUGCAGGUAUUCAAUUACUAAACAUGAUUCACAAGAAUGAUGUCACGAUAAAAAUGAAUCAUGUCAUGAAAGAGAGGUCAGGGUCACGAAGAAGAUAAAAAUCGCUUACUCUUAACUAAGGGUAGAAAUACUUGCCUUAACUCCGACGUCUAGUCACGAUUCUAAUAGCACUAUACCGCACAAUCAUAUCUUUCUAAGCAGCUUCUGACAAUACUCUUUCUACGUCUGUCAUCUCAGAUUAUUCUUGCUUCAACUUGCAACACCAUCGGAUUAAUUCUGAACAUUCUCGAUAUACACGUCUUGAUCUAUUCUACACGAUAGUAGGAUAAUAUCUCAGUCAUCGGAUUAAAAGAACUAGCUAAUUCCAAAUAGUAUAGGAACCGCGAACAUCUACCCUUCGCAUAUCCGUAUAUAGUAAACAUGAAUAUAUACAAAUAUCCACAUAACAAUAUAUACACAUACACAUUGGAUCAGUCGGCACAUAACAACGUAGUCAAUCAUAUUUCAGUCCACAUAAAAUAUAUUGCGAUUAACUAUCAAAUAUCAAAUAUUUAUUAUAAAUAAACACCCUUAAUUUCUAACAAAAAUUCGACAGCAUCUCCUCUAUUUAUUGGACUAUCCACCUGUUUGCAAUACCAACAAUCAGCCAAUACUAUUGCUGACACAUGAAUUACUAUUAUAAAAAGAUGUCUUGACUUUCAAUAAACACAUAAGAAAAUCCGCCUUGACUUGCAGUAAACAUGUAAGAAAAAUCUUUUAGCAGGAUUGCUAAUUUGUUAUACCAAAACACAUUUAAUUAGAUAUACAAAGUUAACCAAGUCAAUCAAUUUAAUAAUCAAUUAUAUGCAAUUAAGCAAGUAUAACCUCAUACUAUCCACUAACAAAGAAAGAAAACUACAACAAAUGGUUCAAACAACCCUCACUCUAUGAUUUUUAAUAAAUUGAAAAUUUAUUGUUUUAAUACAAAAAUUUUAUGAGACACUCCUUAACAUUAUUCCAACCUACAGUAAAAGUUUCAGAAAGAAACUCCAAGUAUAAGGCGGUAAAACAGGCCUGCCAAUCAAGCACCAGAAAUUUGUCUUAUAAAACCAGUCCGACGCUAAGAUUUUUAAUAAACAGAAAAAUUGGUCUGUUUGUAUAAAAUUUUAAUGACACAUUCCAGGCACCAACAUCUAACUCCAGUAAAAAUUUCAGAAGUAAAUACCAAGUCAAAGGUAGUAAAACAGGGCUAGGAACAGGACACACCUGCCCAGAAUUUUCUGCGCACUUCACACUAAAACACACAUAUCUCCCAGCUCGUUGAUCGAAUUGAUUCAAUUCUUUCGCGCACAUAAACUAGACUCUAAGUAGCAUAUAAUUACAAAGAAAUUAAGCAUAGCACUCGAAUUUAACAGUCCCAGAACAGAGCUACAAAACAGGACUGUUGCUGCGAAGCAUAACAUUCAAUUGACUAAAUAAUUUGCAAGUUAUACUUCAAAUACUCAAGUUAGCUCAAUCCAAUUAUUCUAGACCUGAACUUACACUUACAAUAUAAACCAAUAUCACUAGUUUACCGAAUUUAGAUAAAACCAAGCUUUAGCAUUAUCAAUUUUUAAUAUUGGAAUUCAAAUUACCCAAAACUCAUAUCCUCAAAUCAAAUAUCAACACCCAUCAAUUUGUAGACUCAAAACACAUAGCAACCAACUCUUAUACUUUAUUUAUAUAUCAAAUUAAUAUUCAUAUCAAACAAAUCUCCCAACUAGCAAUCUGAUCAUAUACACACAAGCCACAUAAAUCAGAUUAUACACACAUAUCAAGUACAUAUACACGGAUAAACACCGUUCCCCCGAAUAUAAUUUCGAUUAUCCGACAUGUAAAUACACGCAUAUAUACACAUACAUGUACCACGUAACUGAUUUAAUGAAUAUAAACAAACUUAUACCAAAUUGAAUUCAAGUAGGUGGAGACCAUUCCUUAAUUGCCGGAAACAUAGCGGCGUUGGGGCGUCAGGACUCAUCGGCCAGAAAAGGAAUCCGAUAGAGCUGCACCUGAUUUGGACAGAAGAGGGAAGUGAUGCGGGAGGUUGAAGAAUGGUGCGGGAGUCUGGAGAAGUCGAGGGGGGAGAGGCGGUGUGAUUAUAAUGGGUUUUAAAAGAGAAAGACAGAGGAAUGGUGUACGUGGCUUAAGAGAAUGAAAGAGUACAUACGUGUUAUACCCCAAAAGAAGCCAUGUACCAAGUCACCAAUUAACCUAUACCCGCUUUUAACUAAUUUACGGAGAUAACUUAUUAGUAAAACUUCUCCCAAAAAUUACCGAAAUAUUUUUAUAAAUCCUAGAAUAUUAGAAAACCAGUAAAUAAAAUUUUUGGGACUUAUAGAGCAUUUUAUAAAUUUAUACAAAAUUUAGAAUUUAGCUGCUUCCAGAAACUAAUUAAAAUUCAUGUCCUUGUAGAAAUAAGAUUUUUUUUAAUAUUUUAAAAACUCCUAAAAAUAUUUAUGAUCACUAUCGAGCAAUUAAAACAAUUUAUCAAAUUAUCUUUAUAUUUUUACAAAUAUAAAUAUUCAUUUAGGCGGGUAAUAAAUUUAAUAUAAUAAUAUCAAACGCAGAAAUAAAUGCACACACAAAUAUAAUCGUACACAAAUAAAUCAAUUAAAUCUCGUAACAGAUAAUUGCACGAUCGGCAGAUAUUUUUCCCAUAACCCCAAUGACUAGGAAAAUAAUUUAAACAAUAUUUUUGAAAAUUAUCAAACUAGAAUAAAAUAUUGAAUUUCAUUCCUCAUUUUCCUCGAAUAAUCCUGAAUAAGAAUAAUAAAAUAAUUUGUGAAAAUUCGGGUCGUCAC